GACGAACGCUGGCGGCGUGCUUGACACAUGCAAGUCGAACGGAAAGGCCUGCUUUCCCUUGUGGAUUGCGGGUACUCGAGUGGCGAACGGGUGAGUAACACGUGAGUGAUCUGCCCCCAACUUGGGUAUAAGCCUGGGAAACUGGGUCUAAUUCCCGAUAGGACUGCAGGGUGGUGCCUGUGGUGGAAAACGAUUUUCUAGUGGUUGGGGAUGAGCUCGCGGCCUAUCAGCUUGUUGGUGGGGUAAUGGCCUACCAAGGCGGCGACGGGUAGCCGGCCUGGGAGGGUGGACGGCCACAUUGGGACUGAGAUACGGCCCAGACUCCUACGGGAGGCAGCAGUGGGGAAUAUUGCACAAUGGGCGGAAGCCUGAUGCAGCGACGCCGCGGGGGGGAUGACGGCCUUCGGGUUGUAAACUCCUUUCGACCGCGAGGAAGCCACCUGGUUGGAAGGGUGGUGACGGUAGUGGUAGAAGAAGCACCGGCUAACUACGUG
rnacentral:rRNA from 1 species